AUUGAACGCUGGCGGAAUGCUUUACACAUGCAAGUCGAACGGCAGCACGGGGGCAACCCUGGUGGCGAGUGGCGAACGGGUGAGUAAUACCUAGGAACAUGUCCAGUAGUGGGGGAUAACGCAGCGAAAGCUGUGCUAAUACCGCAUACGCCCUACGGGGGAAAGCGGGGGAUUCGCAAGGACCUCGCGCUAUUGGAGUGGCCUAGGCCUGAUUAGCUAGUUGGUGAGGUAAAGGCUCACCAAGGCGACGAUCAGUAGCUGGUCUGAGAGGAUGAUCAGCCACACUGGAACUGAGACACGGUCCAGACUCCUACGGGAGGCAGCAGUGGGGAAUUUUGGACAAUGGGGGAAACCCUGAUCCAGCCAUUCCGCGUGGAGGAUGAAGGUCUUCGGAUUGUAAACCUCUGUUGCCCGGGACGAAACGCUCCGACCUAAUACGUCGGAGGAAGACGGUACCGG
rnacentral:rRNA from 1 species